rnacentral:rRNA from 1 species
UACAGAGGGGGCAAGCGUUGUUCGGAAUUACUGGGCGUAAAGGGCGCGUAGGCGGCCUGUUAAGUCGAACGUGAAAUCCCCGGGCUCAACCCGGGAACUGCGUCCGAUACUGGCAGGCUUGAAUCCGGGAGAGGGAUGGGGAAUUCCAGGUGUAGCGGUGAAAUGCGUAGAUAUCUGGAGGAACACCGGUGGCGAAGGCGGCAUCCUGGACCGGUAUUGACGCUGAGGCGCGAAAGCGUGGGGAGCGAACAGG